UGUGUUUGGCUGGUCAUAAGGGUGCAAGGAAAGCAGGCUGCUUUUUAUAUUCAAGUCAGGACCAAGUUUUGAACAAGCCGUUUCUCAGCUCUUCCAAGUGUGACCUCACUUCUGAUUACAAGUGUCAUUCCAUCAACCUUGUUGCMACUAAAUGGCUGUACAAGAGAUUCAAGACACAUCAGCUUCGCAGUUCUGCUCACAACCCCCAAUUUAAAAGAUGCUGUGCCUGGUGCUAGCCUGUUGCUCACCUGUCCUUUUACACGUAGUGCUUGAAAAGGAAAAGGAGACACUACCUUGCAGAGAACACUCCAGAAGAGACUACUUUUUAGAAGAAACUACUGAAUAAAACACAGUAAGGCAGCCCCCUCUCACCUCAGUCUGCUGUUCUGGCAGUUUCAUAUUGUCAAAUAUCCUGAAGACAAUUCUAAAUAAAUCUUGCCACCAGUGUUUUUCGACAACUCAAAUAGAAUUGGGAACCAUCCUCUCACCCACACUCUGUCUUCAGGAGCUACGUUCAUAUCAUCACUCGUGUAUUCCUUGAAAGCCUUCAGAAGCAAACACAGCGUUAUAGAAAAUAAAGGCAUCCGAUGCUCAGCCAGAAGUGUGAACGUUUUCAAAAUAAAACGUAAGUUGGAUUGCAAACAAUUACUGCUAUGGUAUGAGUGUUAUAGCAUGAUACUUCAAGUGAGCUGGCAAUCCAAGUAAUAAUACUGGGAAAUGAAUUGUUAUUCAGAGUAAUGUUUAGUCCAUCAUGAAAAAUGGACUUUGAAAAUAAUAAGCUAGAGGCAUUCAAGUAUCUUUUAAGGAGAUAGAGCAUUUUCACUUAUGACAUUAUAUAUUUGCUAGCAAUGUUUCUGAGCAGAGAACAGAUCCUGAGAUGUUGCUCUUAAGCAAUUCUCAAGGAAGUUAGCAACCAGAUGAACUGGGGGAGGAGGGAAAAGGAAACAAACAAACAAAAAUGUGCCAAUACUUCCAAAGCCCGUGGCAUUUUAUACCCGUGCUCCUUCUAAAUUAAGCAUAUUCCUCAUUAAUCUCCAAAACCUGAAGUGAAKCCAAAAAGGCAAGUAAUUUUCCCCAUUAUAAAAGCAUUGUUGAUUAAAGCACUUGGGAUUGAAUGAAUACAGACUAUACCUGAGGCCGAUCCGACACGUAUUUUGCGCAGUGGCGAAUGAGGCGGAUCGCUUCCAUACUGGUAUCUGGAAAUGCUGCAUUGCAGGCAAAUUCAGACAAGCACUUAACUGCAUCCUGGAAAGAAUCUAUGGUUGCUGGGAAGUGCUUUUCAAAGACAAUUGCUGUAAGAAAAGGGUGGACAGAAGGAGUAAAAAAAACUCCAGUUAUCUUAAGGCAGUUUUUAAAAUUAUAAAUUCUAAUAUGAAAUCAUUGYACCAGAAGUCUGCUCAAUGGAUCGACCCUGUCAAAUUGUUGAGUAUUAAUAAAGAGUAGAACAAGACUGUUCCAUGAAAUGUCACCUCAAGGGCAUCCAGGUAGAAUAUAACUCAAAGGAGGGAAAUUUUAUAAUUAAGAAAAGCCUGCUGCCUUAUUAUAGCAUCAAAUCUGUGUGAUUAAAGAGAGCUAGUUAGCACACUGUGUUUCACCAACAAAGGGUCUUCUCUCAGCAGUGUGGUCCUGCUGCUUUAAGUACUCACAUUCAAGGAAUUAAAUAUUCUUAAUCCCAAAGCUGAAAUUGCUUGAGCAAGUAGCAGAGGCUGAGAGAAAAGAUUCUUUAUAGCACUUCAAAGUUAGAAGGCAUAGAUUAUGAUGGAGAAAAAUCACAAUCCCACCUSUUUUAGCAUUUCUUACUAAACAGAGCUCUAGACAAACACUGAACAAACGAUUGCACAAAAUUAUUUCUGGAAAAAAAACCCAGAACUUCCUAAAAGAAAUUGAAUGCAGCAAGUAAAAUAAUGCAAGAUUUGAAUGAUCUA